GACAGCUUGGCCGAGUGGUUAAGGCGAUAGACUAGAAAUCUAUUGGGGUAACCCGCGUGGAGUUCAAAUCUCACAGCUGUCG
rnacentral:tRNA from 1 species